CCUACGGGAGGCAGCAGUGGGGAAUAUUGGGCAAUGGAGGAAACUCUGACCCAGCAACGCCGCGUGAAUGAUGAAGGUCUUCGGAUUGUAAAGUUCUUUUCUAAGGGAAGAAGAAAGUGACGGUACCUUAGGAAUAAGCCUCGGCUAACUACGUGCCAGCAGCCGCGGUAAUACGUAGGAGGCGAGCGUUAUCCGGAAUGACUGGGCGUAAAGGGGGCGUAGGUGGUUUGGCAAGUUAGUAGCGUAACUCCAAGGCUCAACCUUGGAACUACUACUAAAACUGUUGGACUUGAGUGCAGGAGGGGAAACCGGAAUUCCUAGUGUAGCGGUGGAAUGCGUAGAUAUUAGGAGGAACACCAGUGGCGAAGGCGGGUUGCUAGACUGUAACUGACACUGAGGCUCGAAAGCGUGGGGAGCAAACAGGAUUAGAUACCCGGGUAGUC
rnacentral:rRNA from 1 species